rnacentral:rRNA from 1 species
GAUGAACGCUGGCGGCGUGCCUAAUACAUGCAAGUCGAGCGAACGGACGAGAAGCUUGCUUCUCUGAUGUUAGCGGCGGACGGGUGAGUAACACGUGGAUAACCUACCUAUAAGACUGGGAUAACUUCGGGAAACCGGAGCUCAUACCGGAUAAUAUUUUGAACCGCAUGGUUCAAAAGUGAAAGACGGUCUUGCUGUCACUUAUAGAUGGAUCCGCGCUGCAUUAGCUAGUUGGUAAGGUAACGGCUUACCAAGGCAACGAUGCAUAGACGACCUGAGAGGGUGGUUGCCCACACUGGAACUGAGACACGGUCCAGACUCCUACGGGAGGCAGCAGUAGGGAAUCUUCCGCAAAGGGCGAAAGCCUGACGGAGCAACGCCGCGUGAGUGAUGAAGGUCUUCGGAUCGUAAAACUCUGUUAUUAGGGAAGAACAUAUGUGUAAGUAAAUGUGCACAUCUUGACGGUACCUAAUCAGAAAGCCACGGCUAACUACGUG